UAUUAUAUAAAAUAAAAUAUAUAGGUGACGCUUGGUUUCAUUUGCAAACUAUUCACGUAUGAAAAAGCGCAUGUAAAUCCGAACCACUGCAGAUAUUGAUUUUUUUUGGGUCACUCCCCGCGCGUUGUCGACAACGAGAAUAAGGAAAUGCGCUGCACUAUAGCUGUGUACGCUAGUAUUUUCGUUAUGGAAUGAAGAGAAAUAUCGAGUUGUAUGUAUACGAGUGUACUAUUUAUUGCACUUUAAAACUUCCUCAUAUUUCGUCCGCGAGCAGCGUUCGUGACACGACGCGAUCGCAUUUUGCCAUGCUAUUUCAAUAACUUUCCAGUGUGCAAAUACAGCACGUGUACCGAUCUCUUCGUGGCGGACAGCGAAUUGGGUCGGUCAUGGAAGACUCGGUCGAAGUUCGCGAAUUCUCCCCACGCCUCUGGCUUUUUAAUGAAUAUACAUCGCACGCUCAAAUCCGUUUGUCCCAUUUUUUCACUCGUCAUCUUGUGCUAUCAGCCGGUAUAUGUAGAUUACCGGACGGCGUAUGGCGCGCCGAUCACGUAUGCAUGCAUUUGCAACAAGUAUUCCGAAUACCUCCACUUUGUAAACUGCAUAUGCAUUUAUGCAAACCGCACAGGAUCAACGUAACGGUCGUUUAUAUGGCGUAGCUUUUAUAUCGUCCGGGGAAACAACCCCGAUUACUCUCUUCUGCGCAAUAUUCCAAAAGUUCGUAAAUUUUAUUUUAGGCCGGACGCGGAUACAUACCGCAACUGCUAUCGUAGAAUUUUUUCAUUUAGAUCACUAGUAUCUCCCCUCCCUCUAAAUUUCUUACAAGGAUAAAAUUCAAUAUUUUGUUACAUCCUGAAAAUAAUAUUAGACCUUUUAUUGCGUCAUCCGUGUUGCAAUCUUAAAUACAAGAACAGCUUCUAAACUUCUUUUCAAAAUUGUCUGAUAGGAUUUACUAUAUUUAUCCCGUCCUUCACAACUAAAUUCUCAUUCUCUUUUUUAGAAAUUCUAAAUUUUCAUUUUUGCAAAAUCAAAUCAAUUUUUACUUUUGAUAUCAAGAUAGUGAUGAUCGUGGCGCACGAAUUGCAUGAUUGCCAAAGACUGAUCUGUGAAUGAUGAAAUCCAGUUAGAACAUGCAAUUUUAUUCGAUCGCUACUUCUCGGAAGGCAAUGGCAAACCAUCAAAAAUAUCUUUGCCAUAAAAACCUCCCUUAUAAAUUUUUAAUGAACUAUGCGUUACUAAGGCUCCUUAUAUCUAUUAGAGGCACACUACAGAUAUAUGUAUAGCUUAUUAUCCAUCAGAAGGAGCAGACAGCGGUCUUAUAAUAUUCAUGUAAAGAACUAAAAUACUAUAUACAAAACCUUCAAGGAACUGAGAUUCUCUUGAGAAGUCCUACUGCUCCAUAUAGAAGUUGAAAAAAUUAAUGAAAUAAUGAUGUUAGGAUAUGUUAUUUGUCCAGAAGCCAAACCUGCUAAGAGAAUGUAUUGCAAACUGUGUGUUGCAUAUCAUGUCAAUAGAACUUGACAGCAGUUGGACACUGCAGUCUGCUAUUUUUCUAUUAUUGGAAGAAAUGUAUCAGAAAACGAGCAGACUCUGCGACAUCAUCAUGCUCCAUUCCUGUUGCUAUAUAUUAUACUAGCAAUAUUAUUACGGUAGAAACUAAACAUAAAGAAGGCACAGUGGAUAGAAAUCUGCUCUAUAUAAUCAUGAUCAAAUUUCCUGUUGGCAUACUGCUAUAGCAUUUUGCUAUCUAGGUGGUUAUUUUAACAAAGAAUCGCCUUGCUUAUUACGCGAAGAAAUCAAAAUUAGUAGUUCAUAUUAGUAGCUCAUAUCGAACAAAUUUUCGAUUUAAUGCAUUACUAUACUGUAAUCUCGCUUGCCUAUACCAUCACCUGAAUGAAGCCUGAUCAAAAAGUAGCAGUUCUACUCUUCCCAAUGCUUUAAAAUAUUAUACAACGUGCCUUACACGUAACGACGUGCGCGCGCACACACACAUUCAUCUCUUUUUCUCUGAAAAAUUAAGCAUCUCGAUGGGAAAAUCUGUCAAGAUGCUCGUUGAAUAAUAAUACACGCGAACGAUAUCACAGCAAGGUCAACAAUGCGUUAAAUGCAUCCUCGAACGCCGUCACAAAUUGUUAUCGAUUAGACAAUAAAGAGCAUACUAGCAUAGAUCGUUUACGACACGUCAAAUUGUCAACAACACUCGCUCCGGCCAGUCGAUUUUUUAUACGAUCGAUUCUCGAUACUUGAAUUAAUUCGUGUACUACCAGUAUUACAUGUAUAUACAUGUGUCGCGCGAAGACUCGUACUCAUUUAAUACUUCUCGGUUAGUAAAGUUCUGCCUAUAAAUCAAUUACGAAACAGUGACAUCGGGAUUUAAACGUGACAAAAAUAUUUUUCAAAUAAAAUGCCUAGCUUUAGCCGUCGCUGAUUUAUCACUUUCGGUAAGAUAUCCUCCCGCCAGGAAUUUUUUCGGAAUUGCUCAUGCUCCGAGAUGAGUAUGACGUCAGACGGGAGAAAUGCAUGGAUCGUGAAAGGACGCCGUCGGAGAUGGUACGAACAAGCGAAUAUUAAUAUGUCCGUUUAAUGUGAUACAUGAGGCAUGAUGAUACUAUCGGCUUGCCUUAGACCAUGUGCUGGCCUAGGUACCGAUUCGUAGAUCGGCUCCAGAUUCGAUUUCUAGGAUUGGAGCUUAGGGACCGAUCGGGAUCCUGCGUUCCUACGCAGCGCUGCAGAUCCUCUCCUCGACUCUCUCUCGAUCGACUUUUCAGCCGCGCGAAACAUGUACCGAUACGCUAUGCUACAUCCCUAUUAACUAAUUAUCGACAUUUAUACAUAGUAUAACCAAGUUUCUCAUAUUCGCACACUCGCACGUACACACACACGCAUGUACUCCGACCUGCGACACACUGAUAAGGCUAUACGCAAGGAUCCUUCAAAUCGACAAUUGUUCUCUAGCUCAUCUGGUGCAUCGGUCAUGCUCGUCCAGUAUAGGAUAAGAACAUAGCGAUUACGUAUAAAAUCAACCAAAAAUUGUUAUUGGUAUUAUAUGUAUAGUGGCACGUAACAUUUUAAUAUAAAACUCCUUUCCAAGUUGCAUAGUGA